UGGGGAAUAUUGCACAAUGGGCGCAAGCCUGAUGCAGCCAUGCCGCGUGUAUGAAGAAGGCCUUCGGGUUGUAAAGUCCUUUCAGCGGGGAGGAAGGGAGUAAAGUUAAUACCUUUGCUCAUUGACGCUACCCGCAGAAGAAGCACCGGCUAACUCCGUGCCAGCAGCCGCGGUAAUACGGAGGGUGCAAGCGUUAAUCGGAAUUACUGGGCGUAAAGCGCACGCAGGCGGUUUGUUAAGUCAGAUGUGAAAUCCCCGGGCUCAACCUUGGAACUGCAUCUGAUACUGGCAAGCUUGAGUCUCGUAGAGGGGGGGAGAAUUCCAGGUGUAGCGGUGAAAUGCGUACAGAUCUGGAGGAAUCCCGGUGGCGAAGGCGGCCCCCUAGACGAAGACUGACGCUCAGGUGCGAAAGCGUGGGGAGCAAACAGG
rnacentral:rRNA from 1 species